GGGGGCGCCACGGUUUCGACGGGGCCUGAAAGCGACUAAGUGCAUGCCGGCGGCGAUGUCCCUCCGUUAAAAAAACGUCAAUUUUAUAGUUGCAGAAGAUAACUUCGAAUACGCACUAGCUGCCUAAUAACCGGCUAGGUUCUAGAGACUCUCUCUUCCACUAGGGCCCUUUGGAAUUUUUAUUUUUGUGGAAUAGGCUUAAUGCGGCCCACGCAAGCGGCUGAAUUUUCUUCGGGAUCGCCUUAGACUAGUUUGUCGUUAGACAGGUCUAUUGUUAAAUCAAAUAGCGACUAAGCAUGUAGGACUUAUCGUGGAUCAAGUUGCGGACGGGGGUUCGACUCCCCCCGCCUCCACCA
rnacentral:tmRNA from 1 species